rnacentral:rRNA from 1 species
GACGGAGGGGGCUAGCGUUGUUCGGAAUUACUGGGCGUAAAGGGCGCGUAGGCGGCCAAUCAAGUUAGGCGUGAAAUCCCUGGGCUUAACCCAGGAACUGCGUUUAAUACUGAUUGGCUAGAGAUUGGUAGAGGAAAGUGGAAUUCCUAGUGUAGAGGUGAAAUUCGUAGAUAUUAGGAAGAACACCAGUGGCGAAGGCGACUCACUGGCCCGAUACUGACGCUGAGGCGCGAAAGCGUGGGGAGCAAACAGG